UACGUAGGGGGCGAGCGUUGUCCGGAUUUAUUGGGCGUAAAGAGCUCGUAGGCGGUUCGUCACGUCGGGAGUGAAAACUCGGGGCUUAACCCCGAGCCUGCUUCCGAUACGGGCAGACUAGAGGUAGGCAGGGGAGAGCGGAACUCCUGGUGUAGCGGUGGAAUGCGCAGAUAUCAGGAAGAACACCGGUGGCGAAGGCGGCUCUCUGGGCAUGUCCUGACGCUGAGGAGCGAAAGCGUGGGGAGCAAACAGG
rnacentral:rRNA from 1 species